rnacentral:rRNA from 1 species
UACGGAGGGUGCAAGCGUUGUCCGGAAUCAUUGGGCGUAAAGCGCACGUAGGCGGUUCUUUAAGUCUCAUGGUGAAAGGCUGGGGCUCAACCCCAAGCAAGCCGGGGAUACUGGAGGACUGGAGACAGGCAGAGGCCAGCGGAAUUCCGGGUGUAGCGGUGGAAUGCGUAGAUAUUCGCAAGAACACCAGUGGCGAAGGCGGCUCACUGGCCCGGUACUGACGCUGAGGUGCGAAAGCGUGGGGAGCAAACAGG